GGUGCUGGCAGGGGUGCGGAGAAAGCAGGGAGUCCCAGGAGGGCGCCAGGUGGGCUCAGCAUCCCCUGCACCCCCCCCCCCCUUCCAGCCUGACAGUAACCACACCUCCUCCAGAAAGCGUCCCGUCACCGGCUCCACCUAUGGGACCCUUUGUUUUGUUUUCAUCAGAGCGACUGGCGCCUGCGUGUGUCUUGCCAGCGAGACUGGAGACUUUUUGAAGGCAGGGAUUGGAUCUAGUCCCUUCUAAGCACCCCUGCCUCCAAGAGAGCACCUGGCACACUUUGGCCCCUAUGCACACAGGUUGAGGUAGCAUUUGUCCCUGGGGCCUGCCUGUCCGGCCUAACAGCCGGUCUGGAGGAGGACCUUGGCAGAUUCAAGUGGAACUGACUGCCUCUGCCGGAUUCCCACCGCUGAGGGCAGGCGGGCAGAAGCAGCCCCGCCUUGCAGAGGGGCCAACUGAGCUGGCAGCUUCUUUCUGUUUGGAGGCCCAGCCGCCUUCGACACCGCCAUCUUCCCAGGCCUGCCUGCCUUUCCUCCCCUAAGGCUCCCCGCGGCAAUGCAGACCCCAGACUCACGUUGACUGGAUACUGGGAAACGUCUGCCAGAACCACAGUGGAAUAACGCUUCCUCUGCUCUGUGGGGGAGAAGGAGGAUAAACCCAGAAGCCCCAGCCCCUGGCCCCUCCUCCCUCAGACCCAGAAGACCCAGCCCCUCCUCCCCAGGAGGCAGGGAUCCUGACCCCCUAGCCCCUCCUCCCUCAGACCUGGGACUCCAGACCUCCAGCUCCUCCUCUCUCAGACCAAGGGAUCCUGAUUCCGCACCUACCUCCUCUCUCAGACCCUGCAGUACUGACCCCAGCCCCCUCCCCGCUCCGACCCAGGAGUCCAGAGCCCCAGCCCCUCCUCCCUCAGACCCAGGAGUCCAGACCCUCCACCCCUUCCUCCCUCAGACCCAGUUUCAGCCUGGGGUUUUCUGGCUCCCAAACUCACCAUAGAUAGACUUGGCACUUGGUUUGGGGGCAGCUUCUGGGCUGGUUCGGGAGAAAAGGGUGAGAGGGGCCGUGCGAAUUGGGAGCAGAUCAUGGGGGUUUUGAAUGCCAAGCAGAGCGGGAAAGACUUCAUUGUGAGAGCAAUGGGGAACCAAGGAGGGUUCUGAGCAGGGGAGGGCAGGGCCAGAGCUCGGUUUCAGGCGGGUAAGGCCGGGAGUGGUGCUGGGAGGUGGUGGAGAGUGUGGUCUUCGCGGUCACGCAGACCUGGCUUUGAACGCCCUGUCAACUACUGCCUUGCCACAGGACCCUGGGUGGGAGACUUCAUCUCUCCUGCCUCGGUGUCCCUUUCUGAGAUAGGAGUGAGUCCGUCUAUAGCCUCCGUCUGAUAGAGCUGUGGGUGGAUUCGCUCAGAGUCGAGGGCCCUCAUGGCCUCAGUGACGGUUACUUUUCACGAUGCAAAGGGCAGCCCACAGUAGUUGCUCAACACUAAUGCCCAGCAUUAGUGUUUGCGGUAGACAGACUUAUCUUCUCCGUCCCCCUGGGCCAGGCUCUUCCCAGCCUGAUCCUUCGGUCUCCUGCCCCUGACCUCCUCCUCCUAGGUCACCUUCUCCAAGAACAAGUGCACAGAAGUAACGGAAACUCAGGGCUCAGCAGGAACGAGGAACACUUUCAAGUCAAAGCUCUGCUCCUCAUCCUGUUCUGUUGGUCAGAUCGCCCCACAAUUUGAUUACCUCUGUGCUGGUGAGCUCACUACCGCCUAUCUCCCAUGCUGCUAUUCCCAUGGGUCUCCCUUUGUUGUUUUCCCUGCUCACUCCAGGAGACUUGAGCCUUUGUUAUAAGCAGCCCGGAAUUUUUCGGCAAAAGGUCAAUAUUUAAUAACAAGAUAACGGCAGCAGCAGUUGCCAUGAGUUGAGAACCUACUCUUGGUCAGAUGAUCUGCUAAGUCCUGUUACCUCCAUUUUCCUGUCAAGCGCUCAAAAUUGUCCCUGUUUCACAGAGGAGGAACGGAGCCUCCAAGAGCGACCCUGUCUCCCAGCCUGAUCUCCUUAGGGGCCCAGGGGUUCGGGCUUAGAGCUUCUUGACUGUAAGGACCAAAGGAUUUUGAUUCCAAGUCUCCUCCUA